rnacentral:rRNA from 1 species
CGAGCGUUAUCCGGAAUUAUUGGGCGUAAAGAGCUCGUAGGCGGUUUGUCGCGUCUGUCGUGAAAGUCCGGGGCUUAACCCCGGAUCUGCGGUGGGUACGGGCAGACUAGAGUGCAGUAGGGGAGACUGGAAUUCCUGGUGUAGCGGUGGAAUGCGCAGAUAUCAGGAGGAACACCGAUGGCGAAGGCAGGUCUCUGGGCUGUAACUGACGCUGAGGAGCGAAAGCAUGGGGAGCGAACAGGAUUAGAUACCCUGGUAGUCCAUGCCGUAAACGUUGGGCACUAGGUGUGGGGACCAUUCCACGGUUUCCGCGCCGCAGCUAACGCAUUAAGUGCCCCGCCUGGGGAGUACGGCCGCAAGGCUAAAACUCAAAGGAAUUGACGGGGGCCCGCACAAGCGGCGGAGCAUGCGGAUUAAUUCGAUGCAACGCGAAGAACCUUACCAAGGCUUGACAUGUUCUCGAUCGCCGUAGAGAUACGGUUUCCCCUUUGGGGCGGGUUCACAGGUGGUGCAUGGUUGUCGUCAGCUCGUGUCGUGAGAUGUUGGGUUAAGUCCCGCAACGAGCGCAACCCUCGUUCCAUGUUGCCAGCACGUAAUGGUGGGGACUCAUGGGAGACUGCCGGGGUCAACUCGGAGGAAGGUGAGGACGACGUCAAAUCAUCAUGCCCCUUAUGUCUUGGGCUUCACGCAUGCUACAAUGGCCGGUACAAUGGGUUGCGAUACUGUGAGGUGGAGCUAAUCCCAAAAAGCCGGUCUCAGUUCGGAUUGGGGUCUGCAACUCGACCCCAUGAAGUCGGAGUCGCUAGUAAUCGCAGAUCAGCAACGCUGCGGUGAAUACGUUCCCGGGCCUUGUACACACCGCCCGUCAAGUCACGAAAGUUGGUAACACCCGAAGCCGGUGGCCUAACCC